GGCCCGGUAGCUCAGCUGGUAGAGCACUCGACUGAAAAUUGAGGUGUCGGCGGUUCGAGCCCGCCCUGGGCCACCA
rnacentral:tRNA from 1 species